UUCAACAAUCAGCACCCAGGUUCUUCAUGAUUAUACUCUCUCAAACAAAUUCUCCGCUGCGAAAACCGUUUGAACCCUCGAAUCUCAGGUAUUGGGGAAUCUAAUUGGCAAUGUCAGUGAGAAAAGCGACGAGGAUAAUGCUUCUCUUAAAACUUUGCGAGAUGCAAGUAUGAAAACAAGGAUGGUAAAGGAAGCAUAUGACAUCGAGAAGCAUCAUAUAUAGUGGAUAGAAGGCUAUGCAGAUAUAUGUUCAACAAAUGGCAUGCCCAAUAAUGAUGGACGGGUAACUAUGAGAAGGUUAUGGAAUUGUACAAUGUCCCGAGGCUUAGCCGUAACUCCUUUCCUCUUCUAACUCCCCCAAGAUCUGAAAAUGAUAAUAGCACUAUCGGUUUUGGAGUUGCGGGAAGCAAUUCAGACGGACUGAAUUCAGAGUGAGUAGUUGAUUGUGUGUGAAAAGAUGGGCGUGGCCAUCCUAUUUAUGCAAAGGCUAGAAUUUGUCCAACUUGUGGAGGGGUUGGGAGGCUUUUAGUGGCAGAUUCAGCAUCUAAGCUAAGGUUGAACUCCAAACUUCUCUAGGACUCAAUAGUUGGUUUGGUAAAUGGAAAUCCAAAAGUUGUAUGGAAGGCAGGCAUGAACAAGCAAUUAUCCAACUAUACACCUCUUGAUGAAAAUGUGAAGGCAAAGCUCUCACAGUUUUCCCAACAUUUGGCACAUUCCUCCACUUCUUAGAGUAGGUGGUUUUGCUCUGUUAUUGAAUUGGGAAAUCUGGUUUAACCUCUAUCAAAUCAUUGCGAAUGUUGAACUUUUGAAUAUCCUUUUAUUUCCCUCAUGGUCAAAAGGCUCAUGAAUCUGUAUUAAAAUGCUCAACCUCUACAGAAUCCAGUACUAGAUUAAUGGACUAGGAGAGCUCAACUCUGCAGCUUGUUGUACGAGCCUGUGAGGAUAGCCAUGGUGGAAAGUACAGUGGACUUUCAGAUUCUUAUCUAUUUGUACUAAAGUUCUGUAAAUUUGCAAAACAAUCGUUGCCGUGAAGAUGUUUCGUACUAAGCAUUUCUAGGCGGAGACCAACAACAGCCCUCUCCAAAAGCAACGUGCUCAAGUGGCAUCUUAAACAAGUGGCAUUAGAAGAGGUGGAGUUAGAGGGUAAUGCCAAGGAGACUUUGGAGGUUGCGGCAGAAGAGUAAACACUUUCAGAAAUGCCUCCCUUUUAUAUGCGUGCAAGCUCUAUUAAAAUCCAUGUUAAAAUCAAUAUUAUGUAUUUGUGAAAGUUAAGUAGUACCGGAACCACGUACGCCUUUUACAAGCAACCAUUAUUUAUGCUGCAUGGCUUUAGUAUUUAUGUGU